GGCUUGUUGAUGAUAAUUUCAGGUCUGACCUGCCCAAUGAGUAUUUAAAUGGCCGCAGUAUCUUGACUGUGCAAAGGUAGCAUAAUCAUUAGUUUUUUAAUUGGAAGCUGGAAUGAAAGGUUAGAUGAAAAAAUUUCUGUCUCUUGAGAAUUUUAUUAGAAUUUUAUUUUUAAGUCAGAAAGCUUAAAUUUGUAUGGAAGACGAGAAGACCCUAUAGAGUUUUAUAUUUUUAAAAAGGUGAUUUUUUUGGUAAGGAAAGGUUUAGGUUUUUAAAAGUAUUUUGUUGGGGUGAUAGAAAAAUUUAAUAAACUUUUUUUGAAAGUUUUACAUAAAUGCAUGAGUAAUUGAUCCUUUAUAAAGAUUAUAAGAUUAAAUUACCUUAGGGAUAACAGCGUAAUUUUUUUUAGAGUUCUUAUCGAAAGAAAAGAUUGCGACCUCGAUGUUGGAUUAAAAUUAAUUUCUGGUGUAGAAGCUAGGUAAUUAGGUCUGUUCGACCUUUAAAAUUUUACAUGAUCUGAGUUUAGACCGGUGUGAG
rnacentral:rRNA from 1 species